rnacentral:rRNA from 1 species
GACGAACGCUGGCGGCGUGCUUAACACAUGCAAGUCGAACGGAAAGGCCCUGCUUUUGUGGGGUGCUCGAGUGGCGAACGGGUGAGUAACACGUGAGUAACCUGCCCUUGACUUUGGGCUAACUUCCGGAAACUGGGGCUAAUAACGGCUAGGAGCUCCUGCUGCAUGGUGGGGGUUGGAAAGUUUCGGCGGUUGGGGAUGGACUCGCGGCUUAUCAGCUUGUUGGUGGGGUAGUGGCUUACCAAGGCUUUGACGGGUAGCCGGCCUGAGAGGGUGACCGGCCACAUUGGGACUGAGAUACGGCCCAGACUCCUACGGGAGGCAGCAGUGGGGAAUAUUGCACAAUGGGCGGAAGCCUGAUGCAGCAACGCCGCGUGCGGGAUGACGGCCUUCGGGUUGUAAACCGCUUUCGCCUGUGACGAAGCGUGAGUGGCGGUAAUGGGUAAAGAAGCACCGGCUAACUACGUG